rnacentral:lncRNA from 1 species
GAGUCAAAGAAGGAUGUGAGCACUGAAGAAAGGCACAGAGAGAUGCAACACUGCUGUUAUUGAAAAUGGAGGAAGGGAGCUGUGAGUCAAGGGCACCUUCUUCGGAAAAAUUAAGAACCAACUGACAUCCAUCACCAGAGGGAACUAAGACUUUGAGACCACCUGCUACUAACUUUGACACAUCAAUGCCAACCUUUUGGAAAGUGUGUAAGCCACAGGGGGUAGUGACCAGGUCCCCCCCAGUACAUAGUUGUAUAUUCUAGUUGUGAGUGCUUCCGGUUGUGCUAUGUGGGACACCACCUCAGCGUGGCCUGAUGAGCGGUGCCAUGUCCGUGCCCAGGAUCCAAACCAGCAAAACCGUGGGCCCCGAAGCAGAGCGAACGAGCUUAACUACCCGGCCACAGGGCUAGCCCCUAUUAAAACUUUUUAAGUUAAAAACUGGGAUGUCAGUUGCUACCCACACUGAAUAUAAAUUUAGAAAUUCUUUCUACACUGCAUAAUCUUGCUUAUAAUCAGGUCUAUUUUAUUCCUUACUUUCUUGGUAUUUGCUCGAGUAUUUAUCAAAAGAUAAUUUGCCCAUCACUAAGAAAAGGUAAAUAUUUAAGUAAGGGAUUUUAUCACAAUCAGGGCUUUCUCACAGAAAUGGUGUAAAUUAAUGUGUCCAAAUGUCAUUUGGUAAAAAUAUGCUUCCAAAUUAGUUUUUAACAAAGUAUUCUGAUAAAAAUAAUUGAUGGAAAAAAUAACCUGACUCAAAUAUAUAAAAAAAUUAUUGAUUUUUCAUGCAUGUUUUAACAUGGAUUAAGAUAAAAUGUAUGCUCAAAUAUUUAAAAUAUACUUAUUUACAAUGUUCUGCAUUAUAUUUUCUACUUCUUCCCUGAAAGUAAUAUAAAACCUUAAAGCCUAGAUGAAAGCUAAAAUCUCAAAAAAUUGAUAGGAUUUUUUAAGUGAAUCCAAAAUAAGAAAUAUUUCUUAUGUUAUAAAACAACCACAGGGAUUUCAGUUUUUAAAUAAAUAAAAUGAUUUUGCCUUCAGGAGAUGAGUGUGGACAUUAGAGGAUUAGAAAGAAAGUAUCCAACUUGCAAACUGUUCUACUCUUAGUGAGUUUCUUUUUUAUAUUUGCUUUUAUUAUACACCAUGCUAUUGUCCUCAAAAUUGUAGCCUCAAGCUUAACACUUAAUAAACAUUUACAUGAAUAAUGGCACUAGAUGAAGAGGAUAUAUGUUAUUUA